rnacentral:rRNA from 1 species
AUUGAACGCUGGCGGCAUGCCUUACACAUGCAAGUCGAACGGUAACAGGUCUUCGGAUGCUGACGAGUGGCGAACGGGUGAGUAAUACAUCGGAACGUGCCCGAUCGUGGGGGAUAACGAAGCGAAAGCUUUGCUAAUACCGCAUACGAUCUACGGAUGAAAGCGGGGGAUCUUCGGACCUCGCGCGGACGGAGCGGCCGAUGGCAGAUUAGGUAGUUGGUGGGAUAAAAGCUUACCAAGCCGACGAUCUGUAGCUGGUCUGAGAGGAUGAUCAGCCACACUGGGACUGAGACACGGCCCAGACUCCUACGGGAGGCAGCAGUGGGGAAUUUUGGACAAUGGGCGCAAGCCUGAUCCAGCCAUGCCGCGUGCAGGAUGAAGGCCUUCGGGUUGUAAACUGCUUGUGUACGGAACGAAAAGGUGCCUUCUAAUAAAGGGCGCUCAUGACGGUACCGUAAGAAUAAGCACCGGCUAACUACGUG